AUUUUGCAAUUUCUCAUGCCAAUAAAAAAGAAUGCUUCAACUUUACAAGAAGUAUUCAGGUUUUGAUAAUCAUUUUUAAAAAAAAAAACCCAAACUCAGAAUGUCUAAGUGUGUGACAGGAAUAUUUAAUAUUUUAUAUUCUCAAGUCAUCACCCCAAGUAUGCCAUCUAAUCCAUAUCUGUAGGGAAAUCUAUUUUUAAAGUAAGUGAUACCUUGGAGGAAAAAUAGAUACAUCAUGAUUACAGUUUUCAUCACACCAUAAUCUUUUAUUUUAGAAUUAAGGAGAAGUAUCCUCAAACAUUUGAUGACAUAUGCCUUUACUCUGAGGUUUCCCAUUUGCUGUCACACUGCACAUUCAGACUUCCGUGUCGGAGGUUCAUACAAGAAUUAUUUCAAGAUGUACAGUUUCUACAAAUGCAUGAAGAAGCAGAGGCUGUGUUGGCAACACCACCAAAGCAACCUAUAGUUGAUACAUCUGCUGAAUCCUGACCUCAUAUUUAUGAUGGAUAUAGAUACAUACUAUAUAUAUUCAUAUUUGUGGAUUUCCUAAAAGCCUCAGAAAAUACGAC
rnacentral:sRNA from 1 species